rnacentral:rRNA from 1 species
CCUACGGGUGGCAGCAGUGAGGAAUAUUGGUCAAUGGACGCAAGUCUGAACCAGCCAUGCCGCGUGCAGGAAGACGGCUCUAUGAGUUGUAAACUGCUUUUGUACGAAGGUAAACGCAGAUACGCGUAUCUGUCUGACAGUAUCGUACGAAUAAGUAUCGGCUAACUCCUUGCCAGCAGCCGCGGUAAUACGGAGGAUUCAAGCGUUAUCCGGAUUUCUUGGUGUUAAGGGGUGCGUGGGCGGAUGGUUAAGUCAGUGUUCAAAUUGAGGGGCUCAACCCCUUCCCGCCAUUGAAACUGGCGCUCUUGAGUGGAAGAGAGGUAUGCGGAAUGCGUGGUGUAGCGGUGAAAUGCGUAGAUAUCACGCAGAACCCCGAUGGCGAAGGCAGCAUGCCGGCUUCCGACUGACGCUGAAGCACGAAAGCGUGGGGAUCGAACAGGAUUAGAUACCCGAGUAGUC